rnacentral:lncRNA from 1 species
UGGUGAUCCACUCGGCGAGUCGGGUCAACUGAAAGUUGACUCCAGCUUUGGCUUAGAGUUAAUCCAGGGGUAAAAUGGUCAUUUUACCUAAAGGACAGUUAGCAGUGUUUGAUUGAGUAUGUCGUGGAAAUUGCAGCCGGAGGACUCCCGGAGCAGCAGCAGUCAGUUAGUUCCCGAUCAGUUCAGCAGCUACUUUGAGGUGAGUUACCUUCCAGUAGCGGUGGGUCUAAGGCCACAAUGCCGACCCACCAGUAGGAGUUGUAUGAUAGAUGAUUGUCUUUGUGAUAUCAUCUAAGUUCGCUAGUACCUGACAUGUUAUAUGCUAGCAUGAUAUGCUGUAUGUGAUAGUAGUAGAGUUUGGUUGUUCGGACCGAAGGGUAGUCAGACACCCCAGAUACGUCUGACAGUAUGUGACGAUAUGUAUGCAUGCUGGCUUGUUAUGUUAUAUGUGAUCGUAGUAGUAGGGGUGAAAUAGUCCCCGAGGAUCGGUUGUUAGGACCGAUGGGUAGUCAGCACCCCAGAAUGGCUUGACACGGGUAAGACGGCACCCCAGAAUGGCCGUAUGGGUAGGUCGGCACCCCAGAAUGGCCGUACCGGGUAGUCAGGCACCCCAGAAUAGCCUGGCAGUAUAUAUGUUAUGUGUUUGUAUGGUAUGCGGUACGUUGGGGGAACUCACUAAGCUUUGUGCUUACGUUUACAGUUUUGUUUUCAGGUACCUCUGCAUCGAAGGGGAAGGAGCCGGCGCGGUAGCGGCACGUCAUACACACACUCUUCGGUUUCCGCAUUUAUGAGAUUUACUGGGAUUGUACUCUGAUAUUUGAUGGGAUGUACGGUUUGGCUUUUGAGAACAUGGUUGCAAUGUGUUAUGGUGUGAACAAACAAUGUUUCUUUUUAUUUAGACAAUGUUUUUAUUUAUUAAUGUUUUCUAAAGUAAUAUCAAAAAAAAAAAAAAAUAAAAUUUGGGUCGUUACAAGUUGGUAUCAGAGCCCUGGUUUGAGGGAUUCGGACACGCCUUCGGGAGUGUUUGGACUCAAACCGAGGGAUUGAAAGAUUUUUCCAAAAGAAAUUAUUCUUUAAAACCCGGAAAAGAGUCACGAGAAAGAGUAAAGUGUGUGACGUGCGCGACCGGCCGAGCUCAAGUAAGUAUUCCCCAUAGUACCCAUACAAGUUUAUGUUAUGUUUAUCAGCUUUAUGAAUAUUGCAUGCUAGAAUAGGCUAAGGAUCUAGGAGUGAUGCCUUAUGUGCCUGUUUAUUUGUUCCAGCUUAUUGAAUAUUGCAUGCUAGAAUUGAGUAGACAGCAGUAGGGUAGCCUGUUUAGGUUAUGCCUGAUAGUAUGAGCUUAGCAUCCUAUGUUAAGUGUCGUUUCUUGUUCUAAGAACAGUUUUGGCUUGAGUCUGUUUUUCCUUAUCCGAAUGCUGCUUGCUUCGUGCUCGGUGGGAUUCUGAGUAAUGGGAGUGAGCCACUAGGUAAACACGUCACACCACAUGUAAUCAGGGUUGAAUAAUCCCAAAGUGUUGGAACUGGCCCUAUUGCGCAGCUCUUGUUUGAGUCCAACCGUUGUAGGGACGGAUCUUUUACUUGAAGGAUUAUCUAAUCCUCAUUACAUGUGAUGGUGUUUAGGUGGUGGCUAACUGGCAUUAUGAGGAGACCUACAGCAGCUGAGGACCAGUUGUGUUGAACUUGAGUUCUCCCUAGGGCAAGCCUAGGGUGAGAAUAUCGGAGAGUAGCAGUAGUAGAGGGGAGUUGGUGGAGUCGAGGAAUUCCUCGGAGAAGGUACGGAUAGAUGUGGAAGGUAGUAUGGGCCCGUACUACUGAAAGCAGAGGAUCCGUACCCGAGCCGAGGAAGGCCAAGACGAGACCAAGGAACCUGUAAGUAGUUGAGAUCCCUCAGAAAGUAGCAGUACCACUAAUGAUUAUUAUUGAUGUUUUGCAGAAUGGUGGUACUUCGACCGAGACCGACAGAUGGCGGGUCAGGAGAGGGGUCAGGUUCGGGAUCUGGCACCGAGCCGAUUGAGGAGAGGCUACGUGAGUUCAUCACGUCGGAGAUCACUAGGGGCAUCCUUGAGUCGACCCCCAUCAUCUUUGGGUCGAUCAAGGAAGGGAUCGUGGAGAUGAUGGAGGAUCGCCUACGGGCAUUCAGGAGCGACUUGGCCUCUAGCCAGUCAGGAUCUCGCACACUGUCCUUCAAGGACUUCAGGAGCAGUGGUGCGCCGGAUUUCCAUGGGGUGAAGGACCCCAUUGUCGCCAGGCGGUGGAUUGCGGAUAUCGAGUCCGCCCAGUUGAUCAGCUUCUGCCCCGAGGGGUCGAAGGUGAGGUACGCAGCAGGGUGUUUACGGGACCGGGCCCGAGAUUGGUGGGAGUCAGUGGGUGACUCGAUGGGAGCCUCGGCUGUCGAGGCAAUGACCUGGUCGGACUUUGUGACUAGGUUCAGGGCAGAGUUUGCGCCAGCGGUCGAGCUUCAGCAGCUGGCCAGGGAGUUCUUAGACAUGAGGCAGACGACAGAGACCGUGGCGGAGAUCACCGCCAAGUUUCGGGAGAGGGCUUUAUUGGUGCCCCAGUAUGCAGGUGACGAGGAUAUGAGGAGGACUCGUUACCACGACAUGCUACGAGCUGACAUUCGGGAGCAUGUUAGCUUUUCGGCUUGCCCUACCCUGGACUCCAUGAUUGCCAGGGCUAGGGAGAGAGAGAUAGAUUUGGAGCACAUCCGGAAACGGAAACUUGAGGAUGGUCAGUCAUCGGGGGCUUCGGGGAAGAAGCCCAAGGGAUCAGAUGGGAGGCCGAAAGGCCAGUCGGGACCGAGCCGCUGCAGGAGGUGCGGCAGGCCGCACGAGGGGGCGUGCAGGAUGGGAUCGUCAGGCUGCUACAAGUGCGGCAAGUUUGGGCAUAUCAGCAGGGAUUGCACUGCUCCUGCGACCGUUAUUCAGACAUCGGAGUUGCUGUGUUUCCACUGCAACCAGAGGGGCCACAAGAAGGCCAAUUGCCCCAUGUUGACAGCUUCAGCGCCAGUGAAGGCGCCAGCUCCAGCGACCCUGCGGAUCACGGAUGGCCGUCAGGGCAAGGCAGAGGCUCCAGUGGUGAGGAGUCGGGCAUUUCAGUUGACUGCCGAGGAGGCACGCGCCGCGCCCGAUGUGGUGACGGGUAUGAUUCCUUCCUUCUAUCUUUUAUUUUACGUUGUUAUGAUAUUGAUAUGUGCUCCGUGUGUAUACAUGUGUAUUAGGAUCGUUCCAUGUGAACGGCAUCCCGGUUCAGGUAUUGUUCGACUCGGGUGCAUCCCGAUCGUUCGUUUCUCUUGCUCUUAGCAAGAGAUUUCAUGAGACUUCAGGCGAGUUAGAUUGCCCGUUAGAGGUAGAGAUUGCCGAUGAUCGAUCGGUGCGAGCAUCGAUGGUGUUUCGAGAUUGUGUCCUGCGACUGUUUGAGGAGUGUUACCUGGUAGACUUGGUUCCCAUUCCAUUGCGUGGGAACAAGGUGAUUAUUGGUAUGGAUUGGUUGAGCCCUAAUGGGGCAGUGAUAGAUUGCGCACAGCAGCUAGUGCGAGUCAAGACCCCAAGCGGGGGAGAGUUAGUGAUUCAUGGAGAGCGGCCGCAGUGUGGACCCACUGUAUGUUCAGCAGCGAGGGCUAGGCGCUACCUUCAGCAGGGAUGCGCGGGUUAUGUCGCGUACGUGAUGGACACCCGGGAGGCGGGUAAGGCGACCGUGAGCGAGGUCCCGGUGGUUCGAGAUUUUGCUGAUGUUUUUCCGGAGGAACUACCUGGGAUACCUCCGGAGCGACAGGUGGAGUUCAGGAUUGACCUCGUUCCCGGUGCGGCUCCGAUAGCCAAAGCACCGUAUCGGUUGGCUCCUCCCGAGAUGCAGGAGUUGUCUACGCAGCUGCAGGAGCUGCUGGACAAGGGAUUUAUUCGGCCGAGCAGUUCGCCCUGGGGAGCCCCGAUUCUGUUUGUGAAGAAGAAGGAUGGGUCGCAUCGGAUGUGUAUAGAUUAUCGGGAGCUGAACAAGGUAACGGUGAAGAACCGUUACCCGCUUCCGAGGAUUGAUGACCUCUUUGACCAGCUUCAGGGCGCAUCUUGGUUCUCCAAGAUUGAUUUGCGUUCGGGUUAUCAUCAGAUGAGGGUCAGGGAGGAGGAUAUGCAGAAGACCGCGUUUCGGACGCGCUAUGGCCAUUACGAGUUUGUGGUGAUGCCGUUUGGGCUCACCAAUGCUCCUGCCGCGUUCAUGGACCUCAUGAACCGUGUAUGCAGACCGAUGCUGGACCGGUCUGUGAUAGUCUUUAUCGAUGAUAUCUUGGUUUAUUCCAAGACCCGGGAGGAACAUGAGGAGCAUUUGAGAGAGGUGUUAGAGACCCUGAGGAGGGAGAGCUUGUAUGCCAAGUUCUCCAAGUGUGAGUUUUGGUUGCGCGAGGUGCAAUUUCUGGGGCACCUCGUCAACCAGAACGGGAUUCUGGUCGAUCCGGCCAAGGUCGAGGCCGUGAUGAGAUGGGAGGUUCCGAAGUCCCCAUCUGAGAUUCGGAGCUUCCUAGGAUUGGCAGGCUACUAUCGGAGAUUUAUCCAGGAUUUCUCCAAGAUAGCCGUGCCCCUGACGCGGCUGACGAAGAAAGCCGUGGUCUUUCGGUGGGGACCCGAGCAGCAGGCUGCAUUUGAGACGCUGAGACAGAGAUUGUGUGAGGCGCCGAUCUUAGCCCUGCCAGAGGGCGUAGAGGAUUUCGUGGUUUAUUGCGAUGCGUCCAUUUCUGGGUUGGGCGCGGUGCUGAUGCAAAGGGGGCAUGUCAUUGCUUACGCUUCGAGGCAGCUCAAGCCUCACGAGGCGAACUACCCGACGCACGAUUUGGAGUUGGGGGCGGUGGUAUUUGCCCUCAAGAUUUGGCGACAUUACCUCUAUGGGGUUCGGUGUACCAUCUACACGGACCACAAGAGCUUGAGGUACCUCAUGGACCAGCCGAAUCUGAACAUGAGGCAGCGUCGGUGGUUGGAUGUGGUGAAGGAUUAUGAUUGCGAGAUCCUUUACCACCCGGGAAAGGCCAAUGUGGUGGCCGAUGCGCUUAGCCGCAAGACGGCGCCGAUCAGGGACGCCUGUUUGAGGAUGACUGUGGUGACUCCCCUGUUGGAGCAGAUUCGGGAAGCUCAACAGGAGGCUAUCAAGGAGGAGCAUCGGAAGAACGAGCGCGUAGUAGGUCAGGUUUCCUCCUUCGAUUAUGAUAGCCGAGGGUUAUUGACACUACACCAUAGGGUGUGGGUGCCGUAUCACGGGGGCGUGCGCCAGAUUUUGAUGGAGGAGGCGCACAAGUCCCGAUUCUCUAUUCAUCCCGGGGCGACGAAGAUGUAUAGGGAUCUUCGUCUAGACUAUUGGUGGCCCUGCAUGAAGCGGGAUGUGGCAUGGUACGUCGAGCGGUGCUUGACCUGCAGGAAGGUCAAGGCCGAACAUCAGAGGCCGCAUGGCAAGAUGCAGCCGUUGGACAUUCCACUGUGGAAGUGGGAAGAUAUCACGAUGGAUUUUAUCACGAAGCUUCCCAGGACCGCGCGUGGAGUGGAUUCGAUUUGGGUCAUCGUGGAUAGAUUGACCAAGAGUGCUCACUUUAUUCCGAUUCCGGAGAGCAUAUCGGCCGAGAAAUUGGCCGACAUCUAUAUCAGGGAGAUUGUGGCACGGCAUGGGGUGCCAGUAUCGGUGAUCUCGGACAGGGAUGUGCGUUUUACUUCCAGGUUUUGGAAGAGAUUCCAUGACGAGUUGGGCACUCGUCUGCAUUUCAGCACCGCCUUUCACCCGCAGACAGAUGGACAGAGUGAGCGGACCAUCCAGACUUUGGAGGACAUGUUGCGGGCGUGUGUUCUGGAUUUCGGUGGUAGCUGGGAUACCUAUCUUCCUUUGGCUGAGUUCUCCUACAACAACAGCUAUCACGCGAGUAUCGACCGCCCUCCCUUCGAGAUGUUGUACGGACGGAGGUGUAGGACCCCGAUAUGCUGGGGUGAGGUUGGCCAGAGAGUUAUGGGAAGCACCGAAGUGGUGCUCAAGACGACUGAGAGGAUACAGCAGGUCCGGAGCAGGCUUCAGACUGCUCAGAGUCGACAGAAAAGUUAUGCCGACAAGCGUCGAUCCGAUUUAGAGUUCCAGGUCGGGGAUAUGGUCCUCCUGAAGGUGUCGCCGUGGAAAGGCGUCAUCCGAUUCAGGAAGCGGGGCAAGUUGGGCCCGCGAUUCAUCGGACCGUUCAGGGUCUUAGCCCGGGUGGGCAAGGUAGCAUAUAGGCUGGAUCUGCCAGCCGAGCUUAGCCAGAUCCACAGCACUUUCCAUGUUUCGCAGUUGCGGAAGUGCCUAGUGGACGAUUCUGCAGUAGUACCUUUGGAGGAUAUUCAGGUUGAUGACAGCCUGAACUACAUCGAGCGCCCAGUCGCAAUCCUCGACAGGAAGUCGAAGGAUUUAAGGAACAAGAGGGUGGAGCUAGUGAAGGUGCAAUGGCAGCACCGCAAGGGUUCAGAGUGGACUUGGGAGCCGGUAGACGAGAUGAUGGAGCACUACCCCGAGCUGUUUCAGGAUCAGGCAGCAGACUUCGAGGACGAAGUCUAAAAUAAGUGGGGGAGAUGUGUAGCACCUGGUUUCCGGUAUGUGAAUUUUAUUUGAGCAUUGCCCUAAUUUAGCCUUAGACUCGGCGAGUCAUAGGGUCCGACUCGCCGAGUAGGGACGAGACUCAGGACGCGUUUUAAGUAGGCGACUCGACGAGUCCAUAUCCUGGACUCGGCGAGUCACCGCUGCGGGAUGAAACCCUAAGUUUCAAGGGUUUGCACCCUAUUUAAACUCUCAUUCCGCCCCAACUCGUCCCCAUUCACCCCCAGAACUCCCCCUACAUCGUUUUCCCUUGUUUUCUUGAGAGUUUGAGGUGUUCUUGGUGUGUUCUUGAAGGUUUUGAAGAGUAAGAGGAGUAGAUCAAGAAGAGGAGAAGGAGAUCAGCCAUCCUUGUGUCAUUUCAACAUUUCCUUUGAGGUAUAACCCGUUUUCCCCUUGAUUCUAUGCUUAAAACUUCAUUUGGGUCCUUCUUGGUCAAUUCCCCAAGUUUGCAUGUUCAUUAUAUGUUGUAAUAAGGCGUUUGGCCUUUGGAUCUAUGUAAGAUUGAGCUCCAGGAGCUCAGAUCUGUUAGCUUUUUGGCCUCAUGAGGCUUGUUAGCCCUAGAUCUACCAUUUUGAGACAUUUUGAGCCUUAUAAUCCAUAUUGGUGAAUAUCCACACGUAAAGUUGGAAACUUUACGUGUGAUUCGUGUCCUAGAAGUCCAGAUCUAUGAAUGGCAUGGUCUGGAACCGAGCAAAUCGGUAUAUUUAAGGAGUGCAUGGCGACGACUCGGCGAGUCGCAUAGGUGACUCGGCGAGUCUGGUCGCGAGUCACCGAAUUGGUCCCUUCUUCAUGUGUCGAGUUGAGCCUUGAGUCACAGGGGGUGACUCGGUGAGUUGGGAGCUGAACUCACCCAUGUUAGGACUCGGCGAGUCAAUGCCCUGACUCGGCGAGUCCAAGGCAAUCUUCAUAGCUCAAGAACAGACUCGGCGAGUUGUUCAUACAACUCGGCGAGUCUUAGCAUAAAGUGUUCAUCGGAUGAAGAUGAACUCGACGAGUUGUUCAUACAACUCGGCGAGUAGGAUGAAGGUGUUGAAUGGCAGUUAGAAGGCGAACUCGUCGAGUCAUAGCCCGACUCGACGAGUAGAACCAGGGACCCAGGACAUUGGUUUGCUAGGGACUCGGCGAGUGGUGAUCCACUCGGCGAGUCGGGUCAACUGAAAGUUGACUCCAGCUUUGGCUUAGAGUUAAUCCAGGGGUAAAAUGGUCAUUUUACCUAAAGGACAGUUAGCAGUGUUUGAUUGAGUAUGUCGUGGAAAUUGCAGCCGGAGGACUCCCGGAGCAGCAGCAGUCAGUUAGUUCCCGAUCAGUUCAGCAGCUACUUUGAGGUGAGUUACCUUCCAGUAGCGGUGGGUCUAAGGCCACAAUGCCGACCCACCAGUAGGAGUGGUAUGAUAGAUGAUUGUCUUUGUGAUAUCAUCUAACUUCGCUAGUACCUGACAUGUUAUAUGCUAGUAUGAUAUGCUGUAUGUGAUAGUAGUAGAGUUUGGUUGUUCGGACCGAAGGGUAGUCAGACACCCCAGAUACGUCUGACAGUAUGUGA